UGUGUAAAACAGGUAAAUAAUACUUUUUGUUACUGCUAAUCUGUUCAAAUACUGUGAGAGUACGUCACACCACCUUAGUGAAGAGUCCUUCAUUUUUCAUAGAUAUCAAAGUCCAGGGUAGAAAGCAGAGCACAGAUAUGCACAACAGUCUUGGUCAGCAGAGUUUCAGGAUUUGGAGAAUCCCUUCUCUUCAAGGGAAGCACCAUCUCAUAAGUACAGACCCAUUGAGCAGGACUCAGCCUCCUGAGGAGCAAUCCCUCGCUGGAAAGGGUGAUCGUUCAGGCAGGUCUGGCAGAGUGGAGGCUCAAGCUCCGAAUCUCCUGGAGGUAAAUGCAUCACAGUGGACCCUGGGUAUUUGAGGCUGAAGAUGCUUCUGUGACUUCCUACCAGAGCUUAUCUAGUAAUUGCCUACAAAGUAUGAGCAUGCCUGCACUGAAUAUCUGGAAUGAGAAGACAUCAUUGAAAAGACCUUCACAAACUUGUUCCUAAGUUUUCAAGAGGUGCAAGGAGACCUCUUGGACCAUGAGCCUUGGUUGUGUACAUUGUUUGCCAUGAGACCAAUUGCCUGGGGCAUCAAGUUCUAGAAACUUCCAUUGUCUCUUACUACAAAGGGCUGUCAUUGUCUCUUCUGCUCAGUCAUAAAUGUGUCUCGCACAUGUGGAAGGGUUGUCUACAGUCUCUAGUCGUAUGGCAAUAAAAUUAUCUUCAGAUGGGAACUGUCCAUACUC